UGCUGUCACCCUAUGGCUUUUGAUGGAGCAUUUAGUCCAUUUAAGUUCAAAGUUAUUGAUAGAUAUGUAUUUAUUGCCAUUUUAUUAUUUGUUUUAGGGAGAAAAGACAAAACUCAAGAACUAGAUGGGUGAAUUUUGCAAGGACAAAUUUACUGAUGGGAGAAAUGAGUAGUGGAGGUUGCCACUUGCUUUAGGCUCUAAGUGAUUUAGAUGCCUGACCAAGGCUCCUCUGGACGGGACUGCUUCCUAGACACACACAGAGAGAGGCAGAGACAUAGGCAGAGGGAGAAGCAAGC